UGGAUCUGGUUACUUAGCAUUUAUGUUUCUCGUGGUGUACAGUAGAAAUAAUAAGACCUCUUUAUCUUACCUUUCCAGAGUAUUGUGAAGAGCAAAUGAAGUGAUAAAUAUGGAAAUGCUUUGUAAAGUGUGAGAUGCUGCAUACAGAAUGCCAAUAGCUCAUUUCCAAUGAUGGAAAAUGUCCCAACUUACUUUAUUACUUACCUGCUACUUCCUACUUACCCUUUGCUUGCCUGCCUGCAUCUCUUCACUCAGCAGACAUCUGCUGAAUGCACCUCACGUGCAGUGUCUCUGUGAUUCCUCCCAACCACCCACGUCAGGGAGUAGAGGUUAUUGCUGAAGAAACCGAAGCUCAC